rnacentral:tRNA from 1 species
GGGGAUGUAGCUUAGUUGGUAAAGUGCUUGUCUGGUGUACAGGUGGCCCUGAGUUCAAUCCCAAGGGCCCCA